GUGGGGAAUCUUGCGCAAUGGGCGAAAGCCUGACGCAGCCAUGCCGCGUGAAUGAUGAAGGUCUUAGGAUUGUAAAAUUCUUUCACCGGGGACGAUAAUGACGGUACCCGGAGAAGAAGCUCCGGCUAACUCCGUGCCAGCAGCCGCGGUAAUACGGAGGGGGCUAGCGUUGUUCGGAAUUACUGGGCGUAAAGCGCGCGUAGGCGGACCAGAAAGUUGGAGGUGAAAUCCCAGGGCUCAACCUUGGAACUGCCUUCAAAACUCCUGGUCUGGAGUUCGAGAGAGGUGAGUGGAAUUCCGAGUGUAGAGGUGAAAUUCGUAGAUAUUCGGAGGAACACCAGUGGCGUAGGCGCCCAACUGGCUAGAUACUGACGCUGAGGCACGAAAGCGUGGGGAGCAAACAGGAUUAGAAACCCGUGUAGUCC
rnacentral:rRNA from 1 species